rnacentral:sRNA from 2 species
GUUUGCACUCAUCGGGGAAGGGUGAGAACCUUCGACUAAGGUUCGACUCGAGCGAAAGCGAGAGAACGUUUUCACAGGCAACGGCCCGAAGGGUGAGGAGCGAAGCGACGAAUAAUCCUUCCCCCCACCGCCA